CCUACGGGUGGCAGCAGUGGGGGAUAUUGCACAAUGGGGGGAACCCUGAUGCAGCGACGCCGCGUGAGUGAAGGAGUGCUUCGGUAUGUAAAGCUCUAUCGGCAGGGAAGAAGCAAGACGGUACCUGACUAAGAAGCCCCGGCUAACUACGUGCCAGCAGCCGCGGUAAUACGUAGGGGGCGAGCGUUAUCCGGAUUUACUGGGUGUAAAGGGAGCGUAGACGGCAAUGCAAGCCGGGGGUGAAAUCCCGGGGCUCAACCCGGGAACUGCUCUGGGAACUGUGUGGCUAGAGUGCGGGAGAGGCAAGCGGAAUUCCUAGUGUAGCGGUGAAAUGCGUAGAUAUUAGGAGGAACACCAGCGGCGAAGGCGGCCUGCUGGACCGCAACUGACGUUGAGGCUCGAAAGCGUGGGGAGCGAACAGGAUUAGAUACCCGAGUAGUC
rnacentral:rRNA from 1 species